GACGAACGCUGGCGGCGUGCUUAACACAUGCAAGUCGAACGGAAAGGCCCUGCUUGCAGGGUACUCGAGUGGCGAACGGGUGAGUAACACGUGGGUGAUCUGCCCUGCACUUCGGGAUAAGCUUGGGAAACUGGGUCUAAUACCGGAUAGGAGCCAUCUUUAGUGUGGUGGUUGGAAAGUUAUUUCGGUGUAGGAUGAGCUCGCGGCCUAUCAGCUUGUUGGUGGGGUAAUGGCCUACCAAGGCGGCGACGGGUAGCCGGCCUGAGAGGGUGUACGGCCACAUUGGGACUGAGAUACGGCCCAGACUCCUACGGGAGGCAGCAGUGGGGAAUAUUGCACAAUGGGCGCAAGCCUGAUGCAGCGACGCCGCGUGGGGGAUGAAGGCCUUCGGGUUGUAAACUCCUUUCGCUAGGGACGAAGCUUUGUUGUGACGGUACCUAGAUAAGAAGCACCGGCUAACUACGUG
rnacentral:rRNA from 1 species